GAUGACAGAUUGAGAGCUCUUUCUCGAUUCGGUGGGUGGUGGUGCAUGGCCGUUCUUAGUUGGUGGAGUGAUUUGUCUGGUUAAUUCCGAUAACGAACGAGACUCUGUCCUGCUAAAUAGCAUCCUGAUUCUUUUGUCAGGCUGUCUUCUUAGAGGGACUGGCGGAUCUAAGCCGCACGAGAUUGAGCAAUAACAGGUCUGUGAUGCCCUUAGAUGUUCUGGGCUGCACACGCGCUACACUGAAGGGAUCAGCGUGCCUUCCCUUUCCGACAGGAACGGGUAACCCGCUGAACCCCCUUCGUGGUAGGGAUUGGAGCUUGCAAUUAUUCUCCAUGAACCAGGAAUUCCCAGUAAGCGCAAGUCAUAAGCUUGCGUUGAUUACGUCCCUGCCCCUUUGUAAGAAA
rnacentral:rRNA from 1 species